UACGUAGGGGCAAGCGUUGUCCGGAUUAUUGGGCGUAAAGAGCGUGUAGGCGGCUAGAUAGGUCCGUUGUGAAAACUCGAGGCUCAACCUCGAGACGUCGAUGGAAACCAUCUGGCUAGAGUCCGGAAGAGGAGAGUGGAAUUCCUGGUGUAGCGGUGAAAUUCGUAGAUAUUGGGAAGAACACCGAUGGCGAAGGCAGCCAUCUGGACCGACACUGACGCUGAGGAGCGAAAGCGUGGGGAGCGAACAGG
rnacentral:rRNA from 1 species